rnacentral:rRNA from 1 species
AGAGUUUGAUCCUGGCUCAGAUUGAACGCUGGCGGCAGGCCUAACACAUGCAAGUCGAGCGGAUGAGAAGAGCUUGCUCUUCGAUUCAGCGGCGGACGGGUGAGUAAUGCCUAGGAAUCUGCCUGGUAGUGGGGGACAACGUUUCGAAAGGAACGCUAAUACCGCAUACGUCCUACGGGAGAAAGCAGGGGACCUUCGGGCCUUGCGCUAUCAGAUGAGCCUAGGUCGGAUUAGCUAGUUGGUGAGGUAAUGGCUCACCAAGGCGACGAUCCGUAACUGGUCUGAGAGGAUGACCA